AUGAAAGUAAAAAUGGUUCUACUGAAACAAGUGUUUAUCACUCUUUAACUGUUGAAGUUUCGACGUCAUUUGCAAUCGUCUCAGAUAAUUUCAAUUUUAAUAUUUGCAGUAAUAGCAAUGUAAAAGAUAAUGGUAGUAGUAAUAUAAAAGCACUCUACUCAUUUAUGUUAUUAAUGUGGUAAGAAAUAAUAUUAAUGAUUAUAAUUGCCCGAAAUUGACCCGCGAUUUAUUGUAUAAUAUAAUACACUGGUUAUUGGGAGCUUGAAAUAUUCGAUUUUGUGCUGAAUGUUAAACAAGUCGGAAACGGGAAGCUCGGUGCGUCAGUAGUGGAUAUCCGCUGACAUCUCCUAAGGGGUACCAAUUUGACCCAAAAGAAGCAACUUUAACACCCGGCAGGUUUGUUAAUAAUAGUAAGAUUUUAAUUUAAUUUGAAUUAUGAUAUUUGCAGUAAUAACCACAUUUUAUGUAAAAGAUUACCAUUAUCUUGAUGUUGCAGACGCGAAAACACAGAUUUAAUUUGAUAUUCACAGCUAGCAGCCAUAUUGUUGCGAGAAGGUUGGCGGACAUAACUAACUUCACUAAUUUGAUAAGCGCUCGACAGCGAUGGGCAAGAAGUGGUUGAAUAAGAUCAACGCUAGUUUCUUAUCUGUUUGACAUUAGUGGAUUAACAAAAUUCAUGAUACCACUUCUAACUUGGAAAAACAAAUAACUAUAAAAAGACUCUUCUCAUUAUUUAUUUUCUAGGCAAGUUACGGAUUUCAUAUAAUACUGCCACUAAGUGCCAAGCAUUUAGGCUCUGACCAUCCCACCUACUUCAAAGAUAAAGGAGCGCUGGUGGUGGUGGCCGGUGGUAAGUGAAUGGAAGAAUCCGUCGAGAACUCCCCGCAAUCUCGAGCAUGAAUGUGGAAUGGUAUAUUUUUGCAUAGGUCCAGGACAUCAGAGGAAGCCAUGAGGGAUUUUGGUAUAAUACAUGCAUUAUGGCAUCUACAACCAACCGCUCGAGACGCCAAAUUUCUUUGAUUUCCAAACAAGUGCCUCAUA